CCUACGGGUGGCUGCAGUGGGGAAUUUUGGACAAUGGGCGCAAGCCUGAUCCAGCAAUGCCGCGUGUGUGAUGAAGGCCUUCGGGUUGUAAAGCACUUUUGGUGGGAACGAAAAGGUCCGGGCCAAUACCCUGGACUAAUGACGGUACCUGCAGAAUAAGCACCGGCUAACUACGUGCCAGCAGCCGCGGUAAUACGUAGGGUGCGAGCGUUAAUCGGAAUUACUGGGCGUAAAGCGUGCGCAGGCGGUGAAAUCCCCGGGCUUAACCUGGGAACUGCAUUGGUGACUGCAAGGCUGGAGUGUGUCAGAGGGGGGUGGAAUUCCGCGUGUAGCAGUGAAAUGCGUAGAUAUGCGGAGGAACACCGAUGGCGAAGGCAGCCCCCUGGGAUAACACUGACGCUCAUGCACGAAAGCGUGGGGAGCAAACAGGAUUAGAUACCCCUGUAGUC
rnacentral:rRNA from 1 species